UACGUAGGGCGCAAGCGUUGUCCGGAAUUAUUGGGCGUAAAGAGCUCGUAGGCGGUUUGUCGCGUCUGCUGUGAAAACCUAAGGCUCAACCUUGGGCUUGCAGUGGGUACGGGCAGACUAGAGUGCGGUAGGGGUGACUGGAAUUCCCAGUGUAGAGGUGAAAUGCGCAGAUAUCAGGAGGAACACCGGUGGCGAAGGCGGGUCUCUGGGCCGAUACUGACGCUGAGACGCGAAAGCGUGGGGAGCGAACAGG
rnacentral:rRNA from 1 species